UGCAGUCGAACGGUGAUAGCAAUAUCAUAGNUGGCGCACGGGUGCGUAACACGUAUGCAACCUACCUUAUACUGAGGGAUAGCCUUUCGAAAGGGAGAUUAAUACCUCAUAACACAUUGAACUGGCAUCAGUUUAUUGUUAAAGAUUUAUUGGUAUAAGAUGGGCAUGCGUCCAAUUAGUUAGUUGGCGAGGUAACGGCUCACCAAGACGAUGAUUGGUAGGGGAAUUGAGAGGUUAAUCCCCCACACUGGCACUGAGAUACGGGCCAGACUCCUACGGGAGGCAGCAGUAGGGAAUAUUGGGCAAUGGAGGCGACUCUGACCCAGCCAUGCCGCGUGCAGGAAGAAGGCGUUAUGCGUUGUAAACUGCUUUUAUAUAGGAAGAAAUAGACCUUGCGAGGUAAGUUGACGGUACUAUAUGAAUAAGCACCGGCUAACUCCGUGCCAGCAGCCGCGGUAAUACGGAGGGUGCAAGCGUUGUCCGGAUUUAGUGGGUUUAAAGGGUGCGUAGGCGGUUUAUUAAGUCAGUGGUGAAAGUCGGUCGCUCAACGAUUGCAGUGCCAUUGAUACUGGUAGACUUGAGUGGGAUUGAGGUAGCUGGAAUGGAUAGUGUAGCGGUGAAAUGCAUAGAUAUUAUCCAGAACACCAAUUGCGUANGCAAGUUACUAAGUCUCAACUGACGCUGAG
rnacentral:rRNA from 1 species